GACGAACGCUGGCGGCGUGCUUAACACAUGCAAGUCGAACGAAGAGCGAUGGAAGCUUGCUUCUCUCAAUCUUAGUGGCGAACGGGUGAGUAACGCGUAAUCAACCUGCCCUUCAGAGGGGGACAACAGUUGGAAACGACUGCUAAUACCGCAUACGAUCUAACCUCGGCAUCGAGGAUAGAUGAAAGGUGGCCUCUACAUGUAAGCUAUCACUGAAGGAGGGGAUUGCGUCUGAUUAGCUAGGUGGAGGGGUAACGGCCCACCAAGGCGAUGAUCAGUAGACGGUCUGAGAGGAUGAACGGCCACAUGGGGACUGAGACACGGCCCAGACUCCUACGGGAGGCAGCAGUGGGGAAUCUUCCGCAAUAGACGAAAGUCUGACGGAGCAACGCCGCGUGAGUGAUGACGGCCGUCGGGUUGUAAAGCUCUGUUAAUCGGGACGAAAGGCCUUCUUGCGAAUAGUGAGAAGGAUUGACGGUACCGGAAUAGAAAGCCACGGCUAACUACGUG
rnacentral:rRNA from 1 species